rnacentral:tRNA from 1 species
GGAGGGAUGGCUCAGUGGUAGAAUGUGUGCUUAGCAUGCACGAGGUCCUGGGUUCAAUCCCCAGUACCUCGA